rnacentral:rRNA from 1 species
UACGAAGGGGGCUAGCGUUGCUCGGAAUCACUGGGCGUAAAGGGUGCGUAGGCGGGUCUUUAAGUCAGGGGUGAAAUCCUGGAGCUCAACUCCAGAACUGCCUCUGAUACUGGGGAUCUUGAGUCCGGAAGAGGUAAGUGGAACUGCGAGUGUAGAGGUGAAAUUCGUAGAUAUUCGCAAGAACACCAGUGGCGAAGGCGGCUUACUGGUCCGGUACUGACGCUGAGGUGCGAAAGUGUGGGGAGCGAACAGG